UACUAGAGUAGCACUCGCAUAUCAAUAAGCGGAGGAAAAGAAACUAACAAGGAUUCCCCUAGUAACGGCGAGUGAAGCGGGAAGAGCUCAAAUUUGAAAUCUUAAAGGGUUUCCCUUUACGAAUUGUAGUUUAAAGAAGUGUUUUCUGUUGAGGUUUUGGUAAAAGUUCUUUGGAAUAGGACAUCAUAGAGGGUGAGAAUCCCGUAUUUGACCUUUACUUUCAACUUUGUGAUACACUUUCAAAGAGUCGGAUUGUUUGGGAAUGCAGUCCAAAAUGGGUGGUAAAUUUCAUCUAAAGCUAAAUAUUGGCGAGAGACCGAUAGCGAACAAGUACCGUGAGGGAAAGAUGAAAAGAACUUUGAAAAGAGAGUUAAACAGUACGUGAAAUUGUCAAAAGGGAAGCGUUUGACACCAGUGUUGUUUUUCUGAAAAUCAAUUAAAGAACUGUUUAUGCUAAGCUGUUUAGACUUUAUCAGGCUAUCUGUUUAGUUUUGAGCUUUUCUUUAAUGCACUUUUCAGUUAACAAGUCAACAUCAAUUUCUUUUGCUGUAAAAAAGCUUGAGGAAGGUGGCUUGAGAUUCGUCUUAAGUGUUUAUAGCCUCUUGCCUAUGCAGUCGGAGAGAUUGAGGUCUGCAGCGUAGAUCCUUCGGGGCUAAAUGCAUUUGUGCUAAGUUAUAGCAUUUUAUAGACAACUUGUUGACUAUGAUUUGUCUUGUAGCUACUCGCUUAUGUUAUUUUACCUACGCUUAGGAUGUUGAGUCAUCACACAUCUCU
rnacentral:rRNA from 1 species